rnacentral:tRNA from 1 species
ACAUUGAUGGUUCAGUGGUAACAUUCUCAUCUUCCAUGUGGGAGACCUGGGUUCGAUUUCCAGCCAGUGUA